AUUGAACGCUGGCGGCAUGCCUUACACAUGCAAGUCGAACGGUAACGCGGGGCAACCUGGCGACGAGUGGCGAACGGGUGAGUAACGCAUCGGAACGUGCCCAUCAGUGGGGGAUAGCUCGGCGAAAGCCGGAUUAAUACCGCAUACGACCUACGGGUGAAAGCAGGGGAUCGCAAGACCUUGCGCUGCUUGAGCGGCCGAUGUCAGAUUAGGUUGUUGGUGGGGUAAAAGCCUACCAAGCCGACGAUCUGUAGCUGGUCUGAGAGGACGACCAGCCACACUGGGACUGAGACACGGCCCAGACUCCUGCGGGAGGCAGCAGUGGGGAAUUUUGGACAAUGGGCGCAAGCCUGAUCCAGCCAUGCCGCGUGCGGGAUGAAGGCCUUCGGGUUGUAAACCGCUUUUGUUGGGGAAGAAAUAUUCAGGGCUAAUAUCCCUGAAGGAUGACGGUACCCAAAGAAUAAGCACCGGCUAACUACGUGCCAGCAGCCGCAGUAA
rnacentral:rRNA from 1 species